CGCGGCCUAUCAGCUUGUUGGUGAGGUAAUGGCUCACCAAGGCUUCGACGGGUAGCUAGUCUGAGAGGACGAUUAGCCACACUGGGACUGAGACACGGCCCAGACUCCUACGGGAGGCAGCAGUGGGGAAUCUUGCGCAAUGGGCGAAAGCCUGACGCAGCAACGCCGCGUGGGGGAUGAAGGCUCUCGGGUUGUAAACCCCUUUCAGCAGGGACGAUUAUGACGGUACCUGCGGAAGAAGGACCGGCCAACUACGUGCCAGCAGCCACGGUAAUACGUAGGGUCCGAGCGUUGUCCGGAUUUAUUGGGCGUAAAGAGCUCGUAGGUGGCUUCGUAAGUCGGGUGUGAAAACCCCAGGCUCAACCUGGGGACGCCACUCGAUACUGCGGUGGCUUGAGUCUGGUAGGGGAUCACGGAAUUCCUGGUGUAGCGGUGAAAUGCGCAGAUAUCAGGAGGAACACCAGUGGCGAAGGCGGUGAUCUGGGCCAGUACUGACACUGAGGAGCGAAAGCGUGGGGAGCGAACAGGAUUAGAUACCCUGGUAGUCCACGCCGUAAACGUUGGGCACUAGGUGUGGGGACCUAUCGACGGUUUCCGUGCCGCAGGAAACCCGUUGAGUGCCCCGCCUGGGGAGUACGG
rnacentral:rRNA from 1 species